UACAGAGGAGCCGAGCGUUGUCCGGAUUGACUGGGCGUAAAGCGCGCGCAGGCGGCCUCGCGCGCCCGACGUGAAAGCCCCCGGCUUAACCGGGGAGGGUCGUUGGGGACGGCGGGGCUUGAGGGCGGGAGAGGUCGGUGGAAUUCCCGGUGUAGUGGUGAAAUGCGUAGAGAUCGGGAGGAACACCUGUGGCGAAGGCGGCCGACUGGGCCGACCCUGACGCUGAGGCGCGAAGGCGUGGGGAGCGAACGGG
rnacentral:rRNA from 1 species